UGCGGCGCGCGCUAACCCAACGCGGGGAGGCGCUGGAGGGGCUGCGGGGGCCCGGAGCCGGGAAGUGGGCCCCGGAGGGCCCCCCGCCCCGGGAGAGGCUAGCUAGACUUGAGGUGCGACAGUUCCCUCCCAGAAAAGUGAAGGAUGACGGGGCCGAGACCCUUUCCCGGGUCUUAAAGGAGGCGGGGAGGAUGAGAAUUGGCGAUGGAGAGGGAGCGCAGGACCAGAGCAAGAGUGAGCCCGCGAUGCCCCUCGGAGAUGAAAAGGUGGAACCGGAGUAAGAUGGGUAAUUUGCUGACAAAGAGGAGAGGAAGGUGUUGAGAUUUUCUUAUUGUCACCUUAUUCUUGGACCAAAAACAGGGAUAUGGAGAGAGAGGAGAGCUCUCUUUCUCUCUGCUCUCACCACUGCUGCAACACAGCCCACCAAUCCAAGGAGCAUCAUCUACCAGGCCCCAUUCAUGGUUGUUUCUGAGACAGCCUUGGUCCUUGCCCAAGGGCCCUAUUAAAGUUUACGUCGGGUUAGAUGCGUUCAGUUUGCUCCACUUCUGCAGAUCCAUCCACUACUUCCACUCAUUUAAUGGAAGUCUCAGCCUUCUUUUUUUUUUUCUUAAACUGAGUCUCCCUGUGUUCUUUUCCUCCAAGACCGGGUCGAUUUGUACACAGGCUUUGGAAACAUAAAACUAAUUAUGUUGUCAUUCACCUGACAAUGGUUUUAUAAAGCACAUAGACCUGAACAUUUUUUGCUUGUUUUGUGGGGUUUUGUUUGUUUGUUUGGGGGGGAUCUAUUUUUGUUUGUUGUUUUGCUUUGGCUGAGCCUGAACCUUGUGGAAAUUCCCCGGGGGCUGGAAUCAAACCCGAGCCACAGCAGGGCUCCAAACCACUGCAGUGACAAUACUGGAUCCUUAAUCUGAUGCAUCACAAGGGAACUCCAAGAUGAAGUGUUUUUUUUUCUUUUUUUCUUGUUAGGGCCACAGGUGUGGCAUACGGAGAUUCCCUGGCUAGGGGUCAAAUGGGAAGUGCAGCUGCCAGCCUAUGCCACAGCAACAGCAACGGCAGGUCUGAGCACCAUCUGCAAACUACCCCAAAUCUUGUGGCAACACCAGAUCCUUAACCCACUGAGCGAGGCCAGGGAUUGAACCCCCAUCCUCAUGGUGCCUAUGUGGGGUUCUUAACCUGCUGAGCCAUAAUGGGAACUCCUGCUGAGCCACAGUGGCACAUGAAUAUUUUAAGUGUUUAAAUA
rnacentral:lncRNA from 1 species